UUUUAAUAUUUUAAUAAAUUAUUUAAUUUCAAAUUAAUGUAUUAAAUUAUUUUAUUGGGGUGAUAAAAAAAUUUAUUAAACUUUUUUUUUAUUUAAUCAAUUUAUUAUUGAGUUUAUAUAAAUUUUUAACUAAAUUUAAAUUUUAAUAAAUUAAAU
rnacentral:rRNA from 1 species